GGAAGUAAAAGUCGUAACAAGGUUUCUGUAGGUGAACCUGCAGAAGGAUCAUUAUUUAUACAAAAUGGAGUGCACUUUAUUGUGGCUCUGAACCUUUCACAUAAUCUUACCCCAAGACUUGUUUGUGUGGCAUCUUUUAGGUGACAUUGCACUCAGGUAUACGUAGCAGUUAUGCUACAUUCUCCCCCCCCACCCUUUUUUUUUUAACAAUUUUUUUAACACAAGUUUGAGCUAAGAAUGUAAACAUUUAUUAAUUAUAUAAAUAACUUUUAACAAUGGAUCUCUAGGCUCUCAUAUCGAUGAAGAACACAGUGAAAUGUGAUAAGUAAUGUGAAUUGCAGAAUUCAGUGAAUCAUUGAAUCUUUGAACGCACCUUGCACCUUUUGGUAUUCCAAAAGGUACACCUGUUUGAGUGUCAUGAAAAUCUCUCAUCAAAAUAAUUUUUGGUGGAUGUUGAGUGCUGCUGCUAUCUAGCUCACUUUAAAUAUAUAAGUCUUUUUAUUCUUCUGUUUGUUGGAUUGACUUGGUGUAAUAUUUUUAUCAUCAAGGAAAGUAGCAAUACUUGCCAACGUUUUUGGAAAAAGGACUCCUAAAUUGAUUUUAAAUCAUUUUUAUUUUUAA
rnacentral:rRNA from 1 species